CCCCAUCCAUUCCUUCUUGGUUCGACCAUCGGGCUCCUCAAGCGCUUCCGUUCCUCCUCAUGUCCCACCCCACCCUGGCCCCGUUUCUCCGUUCCUCCGGGAGCCGCCUCCUCGUUCGUGUGCCCAGUCCGUCGCCGGCGGUGGGCGAUGGUGGCGGAAGGAGAUAAUGAGGUCCUAAAAAGAGCUUAUUGUUCUGCCCACACUGAUCUCUCUGUUGGACGUACCCGUUGACGGCGGUAAAUCCAAGCGCUUCUAUUUGAUCGAUCGUCUCCAAGACACUUGGGCAUCUUCUUUCCCGAUUUGGUAUCGCCUUCUUUUGCCUUCGCUUUAUUUCAUUCGCUGCAUAAUUUAGGGUUCUAUUAGUUCUUUCUUUUCUUUUCCGAUGUCCUGCAUAAAUUAGGGUUCCUUAGUUCUCUCUCUGUUUCUUUUGUCCUUUCCUUUAUAUCCCCUCCUCGAACUAUCGUCAAGAAGCCCUACGGGCAUCGGAAUUAAGAAAUAUUUGCACUUGAUAUUUGCUUCUUGAUUUUUAUAUGAUUAGCCUGAUGUUGCUGCUUUUUUCUAAUCCUUAUCAUGGUUAUAAUUAUGUUUUCAUAUUUAAUUAUGAAAUUGCUUGGAUUAACGUGAUUCAUGUGAUACCGGAGUUAUGAUGUAAGUAUUGUUUAACUGGGCUUACAGCUUUUAUCUGAGUCAUGAUCAAAUAUCAGGGUCAUGGAUGUAGUGGAAGUACUAUUCUGUCUUACCCUGAGUCAUUUGUAUAAAGCUUAUCCUGUAAUUAUCUUGAUAUGCAGUAUCACUGCCGUCAUGAAUUAUGUCCUUUAGUUUUUUAGACUAUCUUGAAAUUCCUUUUUAUAAAUGAUCGGGCAACGCUGUGGGUUCGGAUUCUAUUUUUUGGUCGCUUGCUAGAGUUUGUGUUCCCCAAAAAUCGUGGUCCAAGUCUGUGACGGUAGCAGAACCACUUCGGGAUUCUUUCAUCUGAAAGAUUUCAAUCUUGACUGAUAAUGUCCCUUGUGUUUGCAUUAAAAACUAUUUUGGAUUACAUUUUAUCAAGUAUCAGCCUUGCAAAGGCUGGGCAUCAUGCUUGUGUCCAAUUUUUGAGACGUGUUCUUGCUGAGUCAUGCUUGUAAGCGGGUGCACCACUGAAAACAGAAGAUUCUGGCUACUAAGGGUGUAGACAAGCUGAACAUGUGCAUGACAAGGCCAGCUCUGCUCAAAAACCCUCUCGGCUGGGCUUGAGCUCAAUACGAGCUGGCAAGAGCCAGCUCAAGUUGAGCUCUAUUAAUCUCGAGUUGGCUUGAGCAUGGCUUGAUUAAACUCGAUAUUGUGAAAGAAAGAGGCAAGGGAAUUUGCAGAAGAAUUGAAAGAUCCGUGACAUCAAUCUUGGUGUUGGAAAUGAGCCGUUAGGCAGUUGAGAAGAAAAUUGGAGGUGGUAAUAGGGGCAACAAAGUAGCCAUCUUAAUUGGCCAUUGAAAAGGCGGUGAAGUUGAAUCUUGGAUCUAGGUCCACCUCCUUAAUUCAAGAACAUGAGGAGGCGGUAGGUGAGGGAAGUCACUCAAGAGCAAAGAGUUGCGAGAGUUAGGACUAGCAAGUUGGUACCUUUGACUCCUGAAGUUGUGUGAAAACAAUUGCAUCCGUUAGAUGCAAUCUAAGGAUUGAGGUUUAUUUUACAUAUUGCAGGUAAAAUUUAUUUUCACAUACAAAAUUCUAGGGCACUGCAUAAAUCUCACACAAAAAUUAUUGAUAGAGAAAGCAAUAGGGUAGCUAUAUGUUGGCCAUAUAACUUGUGCGAGAUUUUUGUUAUAUGCUAUUGUAGAAUACAAAUGGUAAAAAUCGAACCAAUUGUUCUUAUAAAUAUAUCUCUAUUAUAUUUCAGUAUUGUGGGCUAUAUCAAGACAAACACAAGGUAGCUAGGCCUUGCUUAUGUGCAGUUCAUUUAACUUCUUAUCUCAAAAUUUUGCAUAUGUUCAACAUAAUUACUGGUAGUACAAGCCAUCUCAAAUUGAAUUUCAUGCUGAACAGGAGUUGCUGACAGAAGCUUGUCCAUUUGACUUCUACUUAGGUCUAGUCAUCUCAAAUCUUAAGUCUGCAUAUAUCAAAAUCAUCAGAUUAGACCUGAAAAUAAAUUUGAUAGCUUCUAAAAAUUAACUGUGAAAAGUUUUUGUAUCACAAUUAUGGCCUCCAUUGUCUCCACCACCACUAUCAUUACCUCAGCCAUCAUUAUCAUGUUUAUGUUUGUAAAAAUAAUUGAGGAUGCUAAACAUGUUUGUAUUUAAACAAAAUUAAAAAUAAAAUAGAAACAAUUUUUUUAUGCCAAGUGACAUCUAAGUGUUUGGUGAUGUCAUUUGAGAAUUGCUUCUUGUUUUCCAAAUAUGGUAUGACCAUCCACUAAAAGAAAUAUUAUACAGGUUGUGAUUACAAAAUGCUGAAUAUACAGAAAAUAAGUUUUCUUAGGGUGAAAACUUAAAUUGAUCAAAUACUAAGAAUUUGAAUUAAUCAAGCUUUGUAGGAUGACUUGGGGAAAGGUAGAAGCAACACCAAACCCAUCCUUAGGUUGAAAGACCAAAUGAUAAUAGGUUCAAGACCUCAAGAUACGGGUUUAGAUCUAGACUAUUUUAAUUCAUUUUUGUUUUGCAUGAUAUAAGUACACAGAGAAUCAGGUAAUUAGAACCAACUGGUGUAAAGGUCAAAGUGUGCGUGGUUUAGUUUCAGCACAAACAAAACAGGUUGUACGGCAGUAAAUAUACUUGAAUAUCAGAUGCUAGAAUUUGCUAUUAACAAGAUGAAAACAUGCAAAUAACAAUUUUAUCACGUAAAUCAGAUUCCACCAUAUAUAGAAUUAGUUGCGGCAAUUAUAAAAAAAAUGCGAUAGAACUCCAGUAAAAGGCUGUUAUAGCCUAUAUUAAGUAAUACAUUGCGUACAUAAUUAAAUUUAGGAUACUGAAGGUACUUUCGUAUAUUGCAUGUCAAGCUGCUCUUUUUUCCAAUAUGACCUUAUGCUGGUUUUCAUUCUGCAAUGAGGAUAUCAACCUCGGUGACCAAAUCUUGUCUUUUUCAUCAAAUGCUUAUCAGCAGCUCUAUCCCAAAAAUUCCUUCUCUCAUUCGUUUUUAGUAUAAUAUGAUGCAUUCUUGUGCCCAACUAGUAACUGUGAAUUGUUGCUGAUGGAUGUCCGGAUGCCCUGAAGAUCCGAGACUGUCAAAAGUGAAGGACAUAGUCCCUACACGUUUUGCAGCAACACACUGUUUUCCAACCAAGACACAAAUACUUGAUUUGAACAAAUUGCAUCAUGAACUGGACACUGAUCUAUUAAUUGCCUGUCAUCCUUUUCAUUAGCUUGAGUCCUGUAAGGAAUUAUUUUCUUGCUGCUCCAGACUGUUGUUGAUGUUAACCAACAUUUGGCAUUCACAAAGGGCUUACCGAUCAAAUAGUUUUGUUUGUUCUGAAGCAGAUAUUUAUGAUGUUCUCACCUCGUUGUUAAAUGAACAUGUAUAAUUUUUCAUGAAUGGAUGAUGGCUAGUUAAUCUGUCAAUUCAGUUCUGAUGUCAUAAUUUGGAUAUAUGUUUCCUAGGCUCAAUCUGGUGGUAUGCUUGACUUGUAAACCCAAACGAGUUACAUGUUGAAUAGGCAUGAGCCUAGCUUAUGCCAAUAUUAGGAAGCCCAAACAGCAUAUGAAAAAGGACUUUCUGUCACUCUCCACGUCCAGCCAAUUAAAGGAUCCAUAUGGGUGUAUAUUUAGUCUGACAUUAGCUAUACAGUAGAGAGAAUCUUAGGUAUUUAUACAGAGAGAUAAAUUACAAUGUGGUCGAUUGGAAUUAGAGUCAAAUCCGAUCGAGUUUCUCAUCAUCUGUUAUCCUUCUAAUCUGUAUGGAUCUUCAUACAGCAAAAUAAAAGCUAAUAUCACUUUUCCAGUCAUUUGGUAUUUUUUUUUUUUGAAAAAAAGAUCAUUAAUAUAGAUGGGAUGAGGGUGGGGUCAAGUUUGUGUUUAUUUUAUCGCUACAAAAUUUAUGUUUAUUCUGUUUUUGUUUAUUAUGGAUUAAUUUUUGUUUAUUGUGUUUAUUUUGAAUGAAUUUAUAUUUAUUUUGAAUAGGUUUAUAUUUAUUUUGAAUGGAUUUGUGUUUAUUGUAUCUGAAGCUUGCGCUUAUCCUAGAUAGUUGGUGUUUAUUGCAGGAAUACAGAAAGUGGUAGGUCCUAUCUGCAUUAAUAGUCUCAGGCCACUUUCCCAUCUUCUCAUAAUAAUUACAAAUUAUAUAGGAUAAAUAUAAAUUUUGGAUACAAAUUUAUCUAGAAUAAAUAAAACAAAUUCAGAAUGAACAAA
rnacentral:lncRNA from 1 species